rnacentral:rRNA from 1 species
GACGGAGGGGGCUAGCGUUGUUCGGAAUUACUGGGCGUAAAGCGCACGUAGGCGGAUUCCUAAGUCGGGGGUGAAAUCCUGGAGCUCAACUCCAGAACUGCCUUCGAUACUGGGAAUCUUGAGUCCGGAAGAGGUGAGUGGAACUGCGAGUGUAGAGGUGAAAUUCGUAGAUAUUCGCAAGAACACCAGUGGCGAAGGCGGCUCACUGGUCCGGUACUGACGCUGAGGUGCGAAAGCGUGGGGAGCAAACAGG